UAGCGGUGAAAUGCGUAGAUAUAUGGAAGAACACCAGUGGCGAAGGCGGCUGUCUGGUCUGUAACUGACGCUGAGGCUCGAAAGCAUGGGUAGCGAACAGGAUUAGAUACCCUGGUAGUCCAUGCCGUAAACGAUGAAUGCUAGGUGUUGGAGGGUUUYCGCCCUUCAGUGCCGCAGCUAACGCAUUAAGCAUUCCGCCUGGGGAGUACGACCGCAAGGUUGAAACUCAAAGGAAUUGACGGGGGCCCGCACAAGCGGUGGAGCAUGUGGUUUAAUUCGAAGCAACGCGAAGAACCUUACCAGGUCUUGACAUCUUUUGAUCACCUGAGAGAUCRGGUUUCCCCUUCGGGGGCAAAAUGACAGGUGGUGCAUGGUUGUCGUCAGCUCGUGUCGUGAGAUGUUGGGUUAAGUCCCGCAACGAGCGCAACCCUUAUGACUAGUUGCCAGCAUUUAGUUGGGCACUCUAGUAAGACUGCCGGUGACAAACCGGAGGAAGGUGGGGAUGACGUCAAAUCAUCAUGCCCCUUAUGACCUGGGCUACACACGUGCUACAAUGGAUGGUACAACGAGUUGCGAGACCGCGAGGUCAAGCUAAUCUCUUAAAGCCAUUCUCAGUUCGGACUGUAGGCUGCAACUCGCCUACACGAAGUCGGAAUCGCUAGUAAUCGCGGAUCAGCACGCCGCGGUGAAUACGUUCCCGGGCCUUGUACACACCGCCC
rnacentral:rRNA from 1 species